CGAAUAUAAACGGCGCGUCCCGGAGCAGUUUCGCGCUGUUGCGGAGUUGUUUCUGUUGCUACUUGUGAGAAUCGCUGAGAUGUCCGGCCGCGGGAAGCAGGGCGGGAAGGCGCGGGCCAAGGCCAAGUCGCGCUCGUCGCGGGCCGGGCUGCAGUUCCCCGUGGGCCGUGUGCACCGGCUGCUGCGCAAGGGCAACUACGCGGAGCGGGUGGGCGCCGGCGCCCCGGUGUACCUGGCUGCCGUGCUGGAGUACCUGACGGCCGAGAUCCUGGAGCUGGCGGGCAACGCGGCCCGCGACAACAAGAAGACGCGCAUCAUCCCCCGCCACCUGCAGCUGGCCAUCCGCAACGACGAGGAGCUCAACAAGCUGCUGGGCAAGGUGACGAUCGCGCAGGGCGGCGUGCUGCCCAACAUCCAGGCCGUGCUGCUGCCCAAGAAGACCGACAGCCACAAGAAGGAGAGAGGAAUGUGAAAACGCCCUGUCGACAGCAAUCUGCCACCUCUGGCCCAUGUGAAUGGGACGCCUCAGGGACUCUAACGAGCCGGUAAAAGGCAUCACAUUCCCCGCGCCCAUCCCGGCUCGUCCAAAGCUCGGCCCGCCCAGCUCCCACGCUGACAGGGCAGCUGCCACGGCACAUCCAUCCUCGCCCGUCGCGCUUGUGGAAAGGGUUUUAUUCUUUGAGCCGAGGGAAGAAGAAAACGAAUCAAAACACUACAAGGGCUUUUAAUAUCAACUAAACAGCAUUGGCUUUACUGCGACAUUUAAUCCCGUGAGUUUAAUUUGGGCGCAUUAAGGGAGAAAAGUUCGGGCUGAAGGUGAGUUAUCUCGUCGCUGUAGUGGAUGAUCGAGCAGACAGUCCCUGCCAGGGCCCCUCGUUUGUCCAGCGACGAUGAAACCCUCCGGGUUUGUCAGUCAUGAAAAACUCGCACUCCCCGCACCAGUGCCAGAUCUAAAGGAUUGAUGCACUUCCUGGGAAGCAGGGAGCUGAUGUCCUAUUGCGAACGAGUGGACCGAAGGCGUGUGGUAUGACACGGGACUGGUUCGAGGAAAGAAGUAAGUAGGAAGGCCGGGCUGGGCGGAGGACCAGAUGGAUGAGAUGAGCGACUCCUUGCAGGGGUGGGAGGCUGAGGAGGUACCCGCUCUGCGGCAUUCUCCACCCUCCAGCACUGCAAGAGGCGCCUGAGAACCACAGGGGGAAAAAAAGGAUCUGAUAAUCACCGGGAGGGGCAGAGCAGGGCCUUGGAUUUUUAAAUCCAGAAACAAGCUAUUUCCUUUCACCUUUUCACCAAAUAAAGUAAUUCAAACUCUAAAAUUCUUAAGAAAUAAAACUGUAGGGUAAGUGGAAGAGUACAAAUUCUUUAGUUCAGAUAAAUGCUGUUAAUAACCUUAGUUCUGAAGCUUAUAAUGUCCUCUGUUUAUACUUUUCGACAUAUGGUCUCACAUAUUUGCACAAAGCAAAUAUUCUCAGGUGGAAAAUACUGUAAAAAACCCCUCACAAAAUCAAACAAAUAAAAUCCCAAUAAACCAAAAUUUAACUGCCAUCAUGGUCUUAUGAAAAGCGUUAAUCCCACAGAUUGUCUUUUAGAAACCCUCAUUGUUUGAUUUUUGUCCCAAACACACCAUUAGAAGGUGUGAUUACAAAUCUGAAGUACAAUGCCUGCCCAUUUCAGGAGUGUUUAUGUGGCAUUUAAAUAUUGGUUAAGGCUAAAACUCCAGGAGCUAAAUAUGCCUAACACUAUUGUGAUCAUUUAACUUCUAUGGGAUUUGUACCAGCGAUUUCAAAAGGCAGAAUUUGGAAGUCCUUGCAUAUAGGGAGAGGAAGUGACUCAAAUACAUUGUCUGGGCUCCUUAAUCCAGCCCAGCUGAGCCUAGGCACCUGGGUUUGCCUGUGGUGCUUAGAGCACAGGAGGAGGCAGCAUCAUUUGAAUAUGUAUUUUGAUGUAAAGAAAGAUUUGGGCUAAUUCGUUCCUAUGGGAAUUCUUGUCUUCUUUUUUUAAGCAGGAUGAUGAAAGAUGCUAAUCUUGUUGUGUUCCCAGUGCAUAAGAUAAAAAAACCCCAAAAAUUAAAAAUAAAAUAAUAUGGAGUGCUCAGAUUGUUUCCCAUUGGAGUGUCUGCUGCUUGCUACUAAAGCAAAAGGAGAAUCAUAGCUCUGAUACUGCACAAAGGUAGUGCAAAUCCUUUAUCCUGUUUGAAAUCCAAAUUUCAUCAAUCUCUUCUUAUUUUGGGAAUUAUUACUUCAAUUUUCCUACAAUCCUGUGUGCAGAAUCUACAUGCAAUGUGAGCAGGACUUCAAGUGCAAAAACAUUGUAGAUUUUACUGAUAAUGGGAAUUUCAAUAUAUUCUCACACUUCUUCCACACACAAAAUACUUAUUUUCAAGUUUUAAAAUGCAAAUAGGUUCCAAAUUGCCUCUUGAGCCUCUCUCUGUAACUAAUGAAUGAAAGAACCUUUGUGGUUCAUGCUUAGCACAAUUUUUGACAAGGAAUGGUUUUGGACCAAGAUUGAGUUCUUGGACACAAAAUUUAGUUAUUUGCAGCUACUAAAGAAAAACUAACCAAAGUGAAAAACAAACAAACCAAACCCGGGAUCUGUGAUCCCAGUCGGUGAAGAAAAAGCUACCCCUGGUUAUUGCAACCCUCCUGUUAUAGAAAGUAUAAAAAUUCAAGUAAUUUCAUCAAAUAGUUAUUUUUAAGUAAAAUUCAUAGGUGAGUUAGCAUAACUAAGCAAAACUAAGCUGCUCCCAAAGAGAAGAACAUGCAUGAGAAAUCAGGGACAAUGAGUGGUAACAAGGGGGGUUCUUUAAAUCCAUGCACCUGUAAGCAAUAAAAUGUCUAAGAACAUUGUUGGGAAUGAUUGCUUCAGAGACGAAAAGAAUUUGUUGUAUUAACCAUUAGGCUGUUUGCUAUCCUGAACCCCCAUAACUUUCUGGUCCUGAGUGCUAGAUAAUCAGUACCAUUCUGGUUCAGAACACCAAAUAACCAAUAGCCUAAAUCAGCUAGUUGGCCAAGUGAUUUUGAAAUACAUAUGAAUAUGUCUAACUUGUGUAAUAAAGGACCAAUAGAUAAGAGUGAUGUAAUGUGUAAAAGUAACAACGAAUGAAAGUAAAGGGUAAAUCUGAUGAGCAAUUAUAAGCAGUCUUUUAUGCAUAGCAAUAAAGAACAAAAAAUGUUGAGUAUAAAUAUCUGUUAAUUUUGAUGCUUCAUUGGACAUUCUUUGGGAACAAUCCCGUGCUUAUCUAAGUUUAGAUAAGUUUUUCUUCCCCAGCAGAUUUGCAACACUCCUUGCUUCUUUGCAGGUAUGGAGCUGGGAAGGGAGAAGGGCUGUUCCCAGCUAUAUUCUACUCUACUUACAGCCUUCUUCUCCAGUGAGUUUUGUGUCACGUCUUGAGCUGUGUUAUGCUUUGAUACAGCAUAAUACCAUGACCAGUUUUUCAGAGCUCAAGGACUCAGCUUUUCCCUUUAUGAUCAGAACUAGGCAUAUUUCCUUUACUGGCCCAAAGCAUUACAUCAAGGCAUAUAAAACAAAAUCCUUUGCUGUAGUUAAUACUUUCUCCUUAGGUGAUAAUUAUUUUGAAAUAUAUUGUUUUCUAUUAAAGCUGGAAAAGAUAGUGUCUGGGAAACUAACCUAACAACACUCAAUACUCCUGAGUAUUGAGUAAGGAUAUCUCUAGUCAUUAAGAAAAACAAUUUCAUUUUGUAAGUAGGUGAGUUGAUACUGAUUUACUCCUUUAAAAAAAAAAAAAAAGAGCAGGAAGUAGCAUAAAAUUGCUACAGACAGUAGGUGAUUUGUUCAGGUUUUUGAUCAAGUGUAUGGCACCUGUUUACCAUUUUUUGAGUCACUAUUCAGUCCAUUAACUAGAGAAUACAGAUAUUUGAUUAUCCAGAUGAUGUAUUUCACAUUUGCAUAAAUAAAAGCACAAUUUAAAAAAAAGAAGAUGGCUAAAACCCCCAAAUUUUACAUAGGUAAAAUGCUGACCUACAGAAGAUGUAAAUCUUUCUAAGCAUGCCACUAACUUUAUUAUUCUAUUAAAAAUAAGACAGGGGAGGUUUCUGUAACUGUUUGGAUUGUUCUUCAGCAUCCUUUAUUAAUAGAUUUUCACUGCAGGACUAAACUGUAAUAUAACUAAUAAUUUGACAUGCAAGUAGUUACUGAUAUUAAAAAAACCGUAUUUUGACAAAAAUGCUUGUAUAACAAAAAAUAAAUAUAUUCUGUAUUUCAGUUGCUGGGAAUAAAGAGAUAUUCUGAAGAUAGACAUGGAGGGCAGAUAAAAAUUGUGUGAUUGUUUAAAGACUAUAUUCUAACAUUCACAGUAUCAAGAAUUAUUAGGAUUAAUAGCCUUGCUUUACACUUAAUAGCGAAAAUAGUCGAAGCCUUAGGUCACAACAACUGACUGAGAGUAAACUUUUUGAUAAAACUCAUGUCAUAAACACAAAGCUAGCUGAAACUGGCAGAUGCAAACAGAAUGAAGGACCUAGGAAAUAAUUCCAAGAGAAUGAGAUAACUUCAGGUCAGCCCAGUGACCUGGUAAGAAAUCAACCAUCAGAACUAAGUGAUUGGACUUGGGGAUUGGGUGAUAUGGGUAUAACUGGGAAGUGUGACCUGUUGUAAGAGUCCCUCUUUGAAGGCACCCAGCUCGAGCUACUCUGAAUGUCAGGUGAAAAAAACCUACUUACUCAGCAGAUUUGAGACAUUUUCUUUGAGCAGGAACUUAGGGCUGAGCCUUGUUGAGGUAACAUCCACAUAAUUCUUACCAUGGUCUGCAUAAUUCCUGCUACACCAGGGUAAUGUGCUUGAACACCAUUCCAGCUUAUGGUUGCUAGGUGAUGCCAUCCAAGUAGAGUGGUUUUAAGAACACAAAGGAUGCUGUUUUUAACUGAAUAGGAAAAAAUGUUAAAGAACAAAAUGAUUGAGAAAUAUACUGUCAUAUGAUUUUACAUUAACAUAAAUUGCUUUAUUAAUUUCAAUUGUUUACCUUGCUGUGGGAUUCAAUUGCCAUGCUUCAUAUUCUUGCUGAGCCUAAAUCCUACAACUUUUACCUCUGGUGAAAAGAACAAGUACAGAAAAUAUUCCACAAGAGCUGGCUUUUGUAAUUUUAGGGACAUUGGCCUCAGCACUGAUACAAAAAAAUAAGAUCUUAUGAUGGGUGUUCACAUUAUAGCCUUAUCAUGCAGACUGAGAUUGGAAGAAGCAAUUGUAAUCAACAUUUUCUUUUCUAUUGAAUUAAGAGUUUCAGGACUAGGGAAAAAA